rnacentral:rRNA from 1 species
GAGUUUGAUCCUGGCUCAGAGCGAACGCUGGCGGCAGGCCUAACACAUGCAAGUCGAGCGCCGUAGCAAUACGGAGCGGCAGACGGGAGAGUAACACGUGGGAACGUACCCUUCAGUUCGGAACAACCCAGGGAAACUUGGGCUAAUACCGGAUACGUCCGUAAGGAGAAAGAUUUAUCGCUGAAGGAUCGGCCCGCGUCUGAUUAGCUUGUUGGUGAGGUAACGGCUCACCAAGGCUACGAUCAGUAGCUGGUCUGAGAGGAUGAUCAGCCUCACUGGGACUGAGACACGGCCCAGACUCCUACGGGAGGCAGCAGUGGGGAAUAUUGGACAAUGGGCGCAAGCCUGAUCCAGCCAUGCCGCGUGGGUGAUGAAGGCCCUAGGGUUGUAAAGCCCUUUCGGCGGGGAAGAUAAUGACGGUACCCGCAGAAGAAGCCCCGGCUAACUUCGUGCCAGCAGCCGCGGUAAUACGAAGGGGGCUAGCGUUGCUCGGAAUCACUGGGCGUAAAGCGCACGUAGGCGGCUUUUUAAGUCAGGGGUGAAAUCCUGGAGCUCAACUCCAGAACUGCCUUUGAUACUGAGAAGCUUGAGUCCGGGAGAGGUGAGUGGAACUGCGAGUGUAGAGGUGAAAUUCGUAGAUAUUCGCAAGAACACCAGUGGCGAAGGCGGCUCACUGGCCCGGUACUGAC